rnacentral:rRNA from 1 species
UAGAGUUUGAUCCUGGCUCAGGAUGAACGCUGGCGGCGUGCCUAAUACAUGCAAGUCGAACGCUUUGUGGUUCAACUGAUUUGAAGAGCUUGCUCAGAUAUGACGAUGGACAUUGCAAAGAGUGGCGAACGGGUGAGUAACACGUGGGAAACCUACCUCUUAGCAGGGGAUAACAUUUGGAAACAGAUGCUAAUACCGUAUAACAAUGACAACCGCAUGGUUGUUAUUUAAAAGAUGGUUCUGCUAUCACUAAGAGAUGGUCCCGCGGUGCAUUAGCUAGUUGGUAAGGUAAUGGCUUACCAAGGCGAUGAUGCAUAGCCGAGUUGAGAGACUGAUCGGCCACAAUGGGACUGAGACACGGCCCAUACUCCUACGGGAGGCAGCAGUAGGGAAUCUUCCACAAUGGGCGAAAGCCUGAUGGAGCAACGCCGCGUGUGUGAUGAAGGGUUUCGGCUCGUAAAACACUGUUGUAAGAGAAGAAUGACAUUGAGAGUAACUGUUCAAUGUGUGACGGUAUCUUACCAGAAAGGAACGGCUAAAUACGUGCCAGCAGCCGCGGUAAUACGUAUGUUCCAAGCGUUAUCCGGAUUUAUUGGGCGUAAAGCGAGCGCAGACGGUUAUUUAAGUCUGAAGUGAAAGCCCUCAGCUCAACUGAGGAAUUGCUUUGGAAACUGGAUGACUUGAGUGCAGUAGAGGAAAGUGGAACUCCAUGUGUAGCGGUGAAAUGCGUAGAUAUAUGGAAGAACGCCAGUGGCGAAGGCGGCUUUCUGGACUGUAACUGACGUUGAGGCUCGAAAGUGUGGGUAGCAAACAGGAUUAGAUACCCUGGUAGUCCACACCGUAAACGAUGAGUGCUAGGUGUUUGAGGGUUUCCGCCCUUAAGUGCCGCAGCUAACGCAUUAAGCACUCCGCCUGGGGAGUACGACCGCAAGGUUG